rnacentral:sRNA from 1 species
CCCCCCGUAAUAUGCCCAGAAUGCCACGAGCGAGCAUCUGGGGGACUAUCACCUGAAAUUCGGUAUUGUACUUUCUUGUCUGUUCAUUGUAGCUGGCUGGAGCUAGCUUUGCUGGUGGCAACUCCCCUGUCUUGCUUAUUUAGUAAAGUGCAAGACCCUGAAUUUGAAUGCCUCUUGGACGACACACCAUAGUUCCAUUCACAAUCGAUGGCGUCAGACACUUGGGCCCCUCAUCAUAUCACCGACAAUGAUCGUGGUCCUUUGGUCACGAUCAUUGCGAGUCUUAUGAUGGUGUACAUGGUAUUUUGUUUCCUUGCAAGAAUACUCACGCGAACCACAAUCAAUGGGCCAUUUGGUUCUGACGAUUGGGUCAUCACAGCCGGCACGGCAGUCGCAAUUAUACAUUCGAGCGCCAAAUUGGUAGAAGUUCGCGAUGGCUUUGGAAAGCGGCU